rnacentral:rRNA from 1 species
GUACGAACGCUGGCGGCGUGCUUAACACAUGCAAGUCGAACGGAAAGGCCCUGCUUUUGUGGGGUGCUCGAGUGGCGAACGGGUGAGUAACACGUGAGUAACCUGCCCUUGACUUUGGGAUAACUUCAGGAAACUGGGGCUAAUACCGGAUAGGAGCUCCUGCUGCAUGGUGGGGGUUGGAAAGUUUCGGCGGUUGGGGAUGGACUCGCGGCUUAUCAGCUUGUUGGUGGGGUAGUGGCUUACCAAGGCUUUGACGGGUAGCCGGCCUGAGAGGGUGACCGGCCACAUUGGGACUGAGAUACGGCCCAGACUCCUACGGGAGGCAGCAGUGGGGAAUAUUGCACAAUGGGCGGAAGCCUGAUGCAGCAACGCCGCGUGCGGGAUGACGGCCUUCGGGUUGUAAACCGCUUUCGCCUGUGACGAAGCGUGAGUGACGGUAAUGGGUAAAGAAGCACCGGCUAACUACGUGCCAGCAGCCGCGGUGAUACGUAGGGUGCGAGCGUUGUCCGGAUUUAUUGGGCGUAAAGGGCUCGUAGGUGGUUGAUCGCGCCGGAAGUGUAAUCUUGGGGCUUAACCCUGAGCGUGCUUUCGAUACGGGUUGACUUGAGGAAGGUAGGGGAGAAUGGAAUUCCUGGUGGAGCGGUGGAAUGCGCAGAUAUCAGGAGGAACACCAGUGGCGAAGGCGGUCCUCUGGGCCUUUCCUGACGCUGAGGAGCGAAAGCGUGGGGAGCGAACAGGCUUAGAUACCCUGGUAGUCCACGCUGUAAACGGUGGGUACUAGGUGUGGGGUCCAUUCCACGGGUUCCGUGCCGUAGCUAACGCUUUAAGUACCCCGCCUGGGGAGUACGGCCGCAAGGCUAAAAACUCAAAGGAAUUGACGGGGCCCCGCACAAGCGGCGGAGCAUGCGGAUUAAUUCGAUGCAACGCGUAUAACCUUACCUGGGUUUGACAUGGAUCGGGAGUGCUCAGAGAUGGGUGUGCCUCUUUUGGGGUCGGUUCACAGGUGGUGCAUGCCUGUCGUCAGCUCGUGUCGUGAGAUGUUGGGUUAAGUCCCGCAACGAGCGCAACCCUUGUUCACUGUUGCCAGCACGUUAUGGGGGGGACUCCGUGGAGACCGCCCGGGUCAACUCGGAGGAAAGGUGGGGGAUGACGUCAAGUCCUCAUGCCCCUUAUGUCCAGGGCUUCACCCAUGCUACUUUGGCUGGUACCAAAAGCGGCAAGCCUGUUCAGGGUGAACGAAUCCCGAAAAGCCGGUCUCACUUCUUAUUGGGGCUGUCACUCACCCCUUUAAAGCUGAAUCCCUUUCUUCCCUUAAUCAUCACGCUUGGGUGAAUUCACUCCUCGGGCU